rnacentral:SRP_RNA from 1 species
GUGUGCUAGAUGGGGGUUUAGCGGGCCCCUGUAACCCGGAAUCCGCUACACCGGGAUCGAAUUCCCACCUUAGGACCUACCCGCUUUUUGCGUGGAAAAAGCAAGCGGUGUUGAUAAUUGGGUCCUGUACAAUUUUGGCGCGCUGAACCCCGCCAGGACCGGAAGGUAGCAACGGCAGGCGUUAGUUAGAAUGUGUUGCGGGAGUGCCUGAAAGGAGCUGGCUGUUUUGGAAGACAUUAAACGGGGGUGCGAAGGUGGGUGCGCAC